rnacentral:lncRNA from 1 species
ACGGCUUAAGCCCGAAUAAGAAAAAUACCCAAAAAAACCUUUUUUUUUUUUUUCAUCUUUUCAUCUUCUUCUUAGCGCGGGGGAUUAGAGGGAGGAGGAAGGGACCUUUUGGCUACCACCUACCAACCCCUCCCCGCCCGGCGUUGUGUGUGAUGUCGUGGCUAGACAGUUGUGGUCACCUUAUUGGUCCGGUUGUAGGACCACGUCGAUC